AUUGAACGCUGGCGGCGUGCCUAACACAUGCAAGUCGAGCGAGCGGCGGACUGGUGAGUAAUGUCUGGACACCUGCCUGAUGGAGAGGGCUCACUACUGGAAACGUUAGAUAAUACCGCAUACGACACGAUGUGCCCAGAUGGGAUUAGCGAGUCGGUGGGGUAUUGGCUCACCUUGGCGACGAUACUUAGCUGGUCUGAGAGGCUGACCGGCCACACUGGAACUGAGACACGGUCCAGACUCCUACGGGAGGCAGCAGUGGGGAAUCUUGGGCAAUGGGCGAAAGCCUGAGCCAGCCAUGCCGCGUGUGUGAAGAAGGCCUUCGGGUUGUAAAGCACUUUCAUCGAGGAGGCGUUACUCGAACAAGAAGCACCGGCUAACUCCGUGCCAGCAGCCGCGGUAAUUC
rnacentral:rRNA from 1 species